GAUGAACGCUGGCGGCGUGCCUAAUACAUGCAAGUCGAGCGAACGGACGAGAAGCUUGCUUCUCUGAUGUUAGCGGCGGACGGGUGAGUAACACGUGGAUAACCUACAUAUAAGACUGGGAUAACUUCGGGAAACCGGAGCUAAUACCGGAUAAUAUUUUGAACCGCAUGGUUCAAAAGUGAAAGACGGUCUUGCUGUCACUCAUAGAUGGAUCCGCGCUGCAUUAGCUAGUUGGUAAGGUAACGGCUUACCAAGGCAACGAUGCAUAGCCGACCUGAGAGGGUGAUCGGCCACACUGGAACUGAGACACGGUCCAGACUCCUACGGGAGGCAGCAGUAGGGAAUCUUCCGCAAUGGGCGAAAGCCUGACGGAGCAACGCCGCGUGAGUGAUGAAGGUCUUCGGAUCGUAAAACUCUGUUAUUAGGGAAGAACAUAUGUGUAAGUAACUGUGCACAUCUUGACGGUACCUAAUCAGAAAGCCACGGCUAACUACGUG
rnacentral:rRNA from 1 species